rfam:Gossypium hirsutum cultivar TM-1 chromosome 22, whole genome shotgun sequence
CACGUCAGUGCAACCUGCUGACAUGUAAGGAAAAUCGCUCCCUCAAGGACACGAUUUCCUUCCACGUCAGCAGGUCGCGCUGACGUGG